GGGUGAGUAACACGUAUGGAACCUCCCGUUAGCAGGGGGAUAAGCGGAAGAAAUUCCGUCUAAUACCGCGUAAUAACUCCGAGAGGCAUCUCAUGGAGUUUAAAGGGUAACACCGGCUACGGAUGGCCAUGCGGCGCAUUAGCUAGUUGGCGGGGUAACGGCCCACCAAGGCGACGAUGCGUAGGGGUUCUGAGAGGAAGGUCCCCCACACUGGUACUGAGACACGGACCAGACUCCUACGGGAGGCAGCAGUGAGGAAUAUUGGUCAAUGGGCGCGAGCCUGAACCAGCCAAGUCGCGUGAGGGAAGACGGUCCUAUGGAUUGUAAACCUCUUUUGUCGGGGAGCAAAAGACGUCACGUGUGGCGUUCCGAGAGUACCCGAAGAAAAAGCAUCGGCUAACUCCGUGCCAGCAGCCGCGGUAAUACGGAGGAUGCGAGCGUUAUCCGGAUUUAUUGGGUUUAAAGGGUGCGCAGGCGGAAGAUCAAGUCAGCGGUAAAAUUGAGGGGCUCAACCUCUUCGAGCCGUUGAAACUGGUUUUCUUGAGUGAGCGAGAAGUAUGCGGAAUGCGUGGUGUAGCGGUGAAAUGCAUAGAUAUCACGCAGAACUCCGAUUGCGAAGGCAGCAUACCGGCGCUCAACUGACGCUCAUGCACGAAAGUGUGGGUAUCGAACAGGAUUAGAUACCCUGGUAGUCCACACAGUAA
rnacentral:rRNA from 1 species